rnacentral:tRNA from 1 species
GAUUUGGUGACCGAAUUUUAGGUGAUAGAUUUUUAAUCUGUUCAUGGAUUUUAAUCCCCGAAUUA